rnacentral:tRNA from 1 species
GGGCGAUUGGCGCAGUUGGUUAGCGCGUCACACUGACAUUGUGGAGGUCACAGGUUCAAAUCCUGUAUCGCCCA